rnacentral:rRNA from 1 species
AAAACGACUCUCGGCAAUGGAUAUCUCGGCUCUCGCAUCGAUGAAGAGCGCAGCGAAAUGCGAUACGGUGGUGCGAAUUGCAGAAUCCCGCGAACCAUCGAGUCUUUGAACGCAAGUUGCGCCCGAGGCCAACCGGCCAAGGGCACGUCUGCCUGGGUGUCAAG